rnacentral:rRNA from 1 species
GUUUCCCUAGGUGAACCUGCGGAAGGAUCAUUACAGUAUUCUUUUGCCAGCGCUUAAAUGCGCGGCGAAAAACCUUACACACUAUGUUUUUUUAAAUUGAAACUAUUGCUUUGGUCUGGCUUAGAAAAAGGUUGGGCCAAAGGUUUUAUCAAAACUUCAAAAUUUAUUAUUGAAAUGUUAUUUUAAAUUUAUUGUCAAAUUGUUGAUUAAUAUCAAAAAACUUCAAAACUUUCAACAACGGAUCUCUUGGUUCUCGCAUCGAUGAAGAACGCAGCGAAAAGCGAUAAGUAAAAUGAAAUGCAGAUUUUCGUGAAACAUCGAAACUUUGAACGCACAUUGCGCCCUUUGGUAUUCCAAAGGGCAUGCCUGUUUGAGCGUCAUUUCUCUCUCAAAACUUCGGAUUUGGUUUUGAGUGAUACUCUUAGUCAGACUAAGCGUUUGCUUGAAAAGUAUUGGCAUGAGUGGUACUAGAUAGUGCUGAACUGUUUUCAAAGUAUUAGGUUUAUCCAACUCGUUGACCAGUAAAGUAUUUGUUUAUUACACAGGCUCGGCCUUACAACAACAAACAAAGUUUGACCUCAAAACAGGUAGGACUACCCCCUGAACUUAAGCAUAUCAAAAA